rnacentral:piRNA from 1 species
UCAAGUAGGUUUAAUUUUAUU